ensembl:lncRNA
GGGGCCCUGGGGCGGUUUCCAAGGGCCGUGGGGCAGAUCUGGGAGUGCCGGGGGGCAAAUUUGGAGGCCGUGGGGGCAAAUUUCAAAGGCCCCGGGGCAGAUUUUGGCGGCCCCCGGGCAGAUGUGCGCUCCACGGGGCGGAUCUGGGAGGCCCCGGGGCACUUCUGAGGGGCUGUGGGGCAGCCGAGAGCCGGGACUGACCACACGCAUUGUCACCGUCACUGCCACCAUUGCCAUCACUGCCAUCACUGCCACCAUCACCAUCAGUGCCAUCACUGCCACCAUUACCAUCAAUCAGUGCCACCAUUACCAUCACUGCCACCAUUGCCAUCAGUGCCACCAUUACCAUCACUGCCACCAUUGCCAUCACUGCCACCAUUAACAUCAAUCAGUGCCAUCAUUACCAUCAGUGCCAUCAGUGCCACCAUUACCAUCACUGCCACCAUUGCCAUCACUGCCACCAUUGCCAUCAGUGCCACCAUUACCAUCACUGCCACCAUUAACAUCAAUCAGUGCCAUCAUUACCAUCAGUGCCAUCACUGCCACCAUUACCAUCAGUGCCAUCAGUGCUGUUAUUGCCAUCAGUGCCAUCAUUACCAUCACUGCCAUCAUUACCAUCAUUGCUAUCACUGCCAUUGGUGCCAUCACUGCCAUCGGUGCCACCAUUACCAUCAUUACCAUCAUUGCUAUCACUGCCAUUGGUGCCAUCACUGCCAUCACUGCCAUUGGUGCCACCAUUACCACCAUUACCAUCAGUGCCAUCAUUGCCCUCAUUGCUAUCAGUGCUGUUGUUACCAUCAAAGCCAUCAGUGCCAUUGUCACCUUCAGUGCCAUCAUUGCUAUCAUUGCCCUCAUUGCUAUCAGUGCUAUCGUUACCAUCACUGCCAUCACUGCCAUUGUCACCUUUACUGCCAUCAUUGCCAUCAGUGCUGUCAUUGCCCUCAUUGCCCUCAUUGCCAUCAGUGCCAUCAUUACCAUCAGAGCCACCGUCACUCAGUGCCAUCAUUGCCAUCAUUGCCAUCAUUACCAUCAGUGCCCUCAUUGCUAUCAGUGCAUCGUUACCCUCACAGCCAUCGGAGCCACCGUCACCAUCACUGCCAUCAUUACCAUCAGUGCCACCAUUACCAUCAUUACCAUCACUGCCCCCAUUGCACUCAUUGCUAUCAGUGCCACCAUUACCAUCACUGCCCCCAUUGCCCUCUAUUGCUAUCAGUGCCAUCAGUGCCCCCAUUGCCCUCAUUGCUAUCAGUGCCGUUAUUACCAUCAUUGCUAUCAGUGCCCCCAUUGCCCCCAUUGCCCUCUAUUGCUAUCAGUGCCAUCAUUACCAUCAGUGCCAUUAUCACCAUCAUUACCAUCAUUGUCCCCAUUGCCCCCAUUGCUAUCAGUGUAUCGUUACCAUCACUGCCCUCAUUGCCCUCUAUUGCUAUCAGUGCCAUUAUUACCAUCAUUACCAUCACUGCCCUCAUUGCCCUCAUUGCUAUCAGAGCCAUCAUUACCCUCAGAGCCAUCAGAGCCACUGUCGCCAUCACUGCCACCAUUACCAUCAUUGCUAUCAGUGCCCCCAUUGCCCCCAUUGCCCCCAUUGCCCCCAAUCAGUGCUAUCAUUACCAUCAGUGCCCUCAUUGCCCCCAUUGCCCUCUAUUGCUAUCAUUGCCAUCAGUGCCACCAUUACCAUCAGUGUCCCCAUUGCCCUCAGUGCUAUCAGUGCCGUCAUUACCAUCAUUGCUAUCAGUGCUAUCGUUACCAUCACUGCCCUCAUUGCCCUCAUUGCUAUCAGUGCCAUCAUUACCAUCAUUGUCCCCAUUGCCCCCAUUGCCCCCAUUGCCCGCAUUGCUAUCAGUGCCAUCAUUACCAUCACUGCCCGCAUUGCUAUCAGUGCCAUCAUUACCAUCAUUGCUAUCAUUACCAUCAGUGCCAUCAUUACCAUCACUGCCCUCAUUGCUAUCAGUGCCAUCAUUACCAUCACUGCCUGCAUUGCUAUCAGUGCCAUCAUUACCAUCAUUGCUAUCAGUGCCAUCAGUGCCAUCAUUACCAUCACUGCCCGCAUUGCUAUCAGUGCCACCAUUACCAUCAUUGCCAUCAUUGCCAUCAGUGCCCUCAUUGCUAUCAGUGCCAUCAUUACCAUCAUUGCCAUCAUUACCAUCAGUGCCAUCAUUACCAUCACUGCCCUCAUUGCUAUCAGUGCCAUCAUUACCAUCAGUGCCCUCAUUGCUAUCAGUGCCACCAUUACCAUCAUUGCCAUCAUUGCCAUCAGUGCCCUCAUUGCUAUCAGUGCCAUCAUUACCAUCAUUGUCCCCAUUGUCCCCAUUGUCCCCAUUGCCCACAUUGCCCGCAUUGCCCUCACUGCUAUCAGUGCCACCAUUACCAUCAUUGCCAUCAUUACCAUCAUUGCCCCCAUUGCUAUCAGUGCCACCAUUACCAUCAUUGCCAUCAUUACCAUCACUGCCCGCAUUGCUAUCAGUGCCACCAUUACCAUCAUUGCCCCCAUUGCUAUCAGUGCCAUCAGUGCCAUCGCUGCCCGCACUGCUAUCAGUGCCGUCAUUACCAUCACUGCUAUCAGUGCCAUCAUUACCAUCACUGCUAUCAGUGCUAUCAUUGCCAUCAGUGCCCGCACUGCUAUCAGUGCCGUCAUUACCUCAGAGCCGCCGUGUCUGAGUGGCACCGCCGUGUCUGAGUGGCACCGCCGUUAUCUGAGUGGCACCGCCGUGUCUGAGUGGCACCGCCGUGUCUGAGUGGCACCGCCGUUAUCUGAGUGGCACCGCCGUUAUCUGAUGGCACCGCCGUUAUCUGAGUGGCACCGCUGUGUCUGAGUGGCACCGCCGUGUCUGAGUGGCACCGCCGUUAUCUGAG